CCCAAUGUGAACGUUACCAAACUGUUGCCUCGGCGGGAUCUCUGCCCCGGGUGCGUCGCAGCCCCGGACCAAGGCGCCCGCCGGAGGACCAACCAAAACUCUUAUUGUAUACCCCCUCGCGGGUUUUUUUUAUAAUCUGAGCCUUCUCGGCGCCUCUCGUAGGCGUUUCGAAAAUGAAUCAAAACUUUCAACAACGGAUCUCUUGGUUCUGGCAUCGAUGAAGAACGCAGCGAAAUGCGAUAAGUAAUGUGAAUUGCAGAAUUCAGUGAAUCAUCGAAUCUUUGAACGCACAUUGCGCCCGCCAGUAUUCUGGCGGGCAUGCCUGUCCGAGCGUCAUUUCAACCCUCGAACCCCUCCGGGGGGUCGGCGUUGGGGAUCGGCCCUCCCUUAGCGGGGGCCGUCUCCGAAAUACAGUGGCGGUCUCGCCGCAGCCUCUCCUGCGCAGUAGUUUGCACACUCGCAUCGGGAGCGCGGCGCGUCCACAGCCGUUAAACACCCAACUUCUGAAAUGUUGACCUCGGAUCAGGUAGGAAUACCCGCUGAACUUAAGCAUAUCAAUAAGCGGAGGAAAAGAAACCAACAGGGAUUGCCCCAGUAACGGCGAGUGAAGCGGCAACAGCUCAAAUUUGAAAUCUGGUCCCUAGGGCCCGAGUUGUAAUUUGUAGAGGAUGCUUUUGGUGAGGUGCCGCCCGAGUUCCCUGGAACGGGACGCCACAGAGGGUGAGAGCCCCGUCUGGCUGGCCGCCGAGCCUCUGUAAAGCUCCUUCGACGAGUCGAGUAGUUUGGGAAUGCUGCUCAAAAUGGGAGGUAUAUGUCUUCUAAAGCUAAAUAUUGGCCAGAGACCGAUAGCGCACAAGUAGAGUGAUCGAAAGAUGAAAAGCACCUUGAAAAGAGGGUUAAAUAGUACGUGAAAUUGUUGAAAGGGAAGCGCUUGUGACCAGACUUGGGCGCGGCGGAUCAUCCGGGGUUCUCUCCGGUGCACUUCGCCGCGUCUAGGCCAGCAUCAGUUCGUCGCGGGGGAAAAAGGCUUCGGGAACGUGGCUCCUCCGGGAGUGUUAUAGCCCGUUGCAUAAUACCCUGCGG
rnacentral:rRNA from 1 species